CAACUCUCCACAAGAGACCAAAUGACACAGACAUUAACAACUAUGGGUCACCAAACGGCCUUCAACAAUGAGCAAAGCCCAUACCGCAUAGUCAGCUAUACUCAGUGCUAUUAAAGGCUUAGAAAUGACAUAUGUAAAACAAUUCAAAAACGAUAAAACUAUAACGGUCUAAUUUAUGUACAAAAAAUGAACGAAAAACAAAUAUGUAACACAUCAAUAUACGACAACCACUGCAUGAAUUACAGGC
rnacentral:lncRNA from 1 species